CCUACGGGGGGCAGCAGUCGGGAAUAUUGCGCAAUGGAGGAAACUCUGACGCAGUGACGCCGCGUAUAGGAAGAAGGUCUUCGGAUUGUAAACUAUUGUCGUGAGGGAAGAAAUUGACAGUACCUCAGGAGGAAGCUCCGGCUAACUAUGUGCCAGCAGCCGCGGUAAUACGUAGGGGGCAAGCGUUAUCCGGAUUUACUGGGUGUAAAGGGAGCGUAGACGGUGCGCCAAGUCUGGAGUGAAAUGCCGCAGCUUAACUGCGGAACUGCUUUGGAAACUGGCGAACUAGAGUGCGGGAGGGGUAA
rnacentral:rRNA from 1 species